rnacentral:rRNA from 1 species
GUGAACGCUGGCGGUAGGCCUAACACAUGCAAGUCGAACGGCAGCACAGUAAGAGCUUGCUCUUACGGGUGGCGAGUGGCGGACGGGUGAGGAAUACAUCGGAAUCUACUUUUUCGUGGGGGAUAACGUAGGGAAACUUACGCUAAUACCGCAUACGACCUACGGGUGAAAGCAGGGGAUCUUCGGACCUUUCGCGAUUGAAUGAGCCGAUGUCGGAUUAGCUAGUUGGCGGGGUAAAGGCCCACCAAGGCGACGAUCCGUAGCUGGUCUGAGAGGAUGAUCAGCCACACUGGAACUGAGACACGGUCCAGACUCCUACGGGAGGCAGCAGUGGGGAAUAUUGGACAAUGGGCGCAAGCCUGAUCCAGCCAUACCGCGUGGGUGAAGAAGGCCUUCGGGUUGUAAAGCCCUUUUGUUGGGAAAGAAAAGCAGCAGGUUAAUACCCCGCUGUUCUGACGGUACCCAAAGAAUAAGCACCGGCUAACUUCGUG